GAUGGUAUAGCUCAGUGGUAGAGCAUUCGACUGCAGAUUAAGAGGUCCGUGGUUUAAGUCCGCUCGCCACCU
rnacentral:tRNA from 1 species